AACUAGCAUACCGCGAAAACGCGAGCAAAAAUCGGUACUUUCGCGUAGUUCUUCCGGUCGGCUUCUCGGACUGCCGGCUGCACCGAAUCGUGCGGCGUGUUUUCGAUUUCACAUUUGUUUUACGUACUGCUCGCCAACUACAACGAAAUUCCGCAUAACGUUUUGCAUUACCGUAUAUGUAAAUCGGUCGAAAUCAAUAAAAUUGCACCCAGAUCUAUUAAAACAUAUUAUUUUGACGCUCGGGGUUCGGAAAAAUGGGUACCAAAAGUAUGUCCUCGUACUCGAAUGGUGUAGGACUGUCC